rnacentral:tRNA from 1 species
AGCUCCCUGGUGUAGUGGCCAAGCAUUGCGGGUUCUGGCCCCGUAGACCGCGGUUCGAAUCCGCGGGGAGCUA